UACGUAGGGGGGCAAGCGUUGUCCGGAUUUACUGGGCGUAAAGAGCGUGUAGGCGCCAGGCAGGUCUGUUGUGAAAACUGGAGGCUUAACCUCCAGACGUCGACAGAAACCGCUUGGCUAGAGUCCGGAAGAGGAGAGUGGAAUUCCUGGUGUAGCGGUGAAAUGCGCAGAUAUCAGGAAGAACACCAAUGGCGAAGGCAGCCUCUCGUGGGACGGUACUGACGCUGAGACGCGAAAGCGUGGGGAGCGAACAGG
rnacentral:rRNA from 1 species